GCAGUGGUGGCUCAGUGGUAGAAUUCUUGCCUUCCAUGCAAGAGACCUGGGUUCCAUUCCGAGCCAAUACU
rnacentral:tRNA from 1 species